rnacentral:ncRNA from 1 species
ACAAAAUAUGACCAAAGCUCAUAUAUGCCCGAUAAUAUGGUUCGGGCGUUUCUACGCCGGCCCCGGAAAGGCUGGCACUAUGGGUGU